rnacentral:rRNA from 1 species
GACGAACGCUGGCGGCGUGCUUAACACAUGCAAGUCGAACGGAAAGGCCCUGCUUUUGUGGGGUUCUCGAGUGGCGAACGGGUGAGUAACACGUGAGUAACCUGCCCUUGACUUUGGGAUAACUUCAGGAAACUGGGGCUAAUACCGGAUAGGAUCUCCUGCUGCAUGGUGGUGGUUGGAAAGUUUCGGCUGUUGUGGAUGGACUCGCUGCUUAUCAGCUUGUUUGGGGGGUAGUUGCUUACCAAGGCUUUGACGGGUAGCCGGCCUGGGAGGGUUAACGGCGACAUUGCGCCUGCGAUAGGGACCAGACUCCUACGGGCGGCAGCAGUGGAGAAUAUUGCACAGCGGGCGGAAGCGUGAUGCAGAAACGCCGCGUGCGGGAUGACGGCCUUCGGGUUGUAAACCGAUGUCGACUGUGCCGAAGACUGAGUGACGGUAAUGGGUAAAGAAGCACCGGCUAACUACGUG